UACGGAGGAUGCAAGCGUUAUCCGGAAUGAUUGGGUGUAAAGCGUCCGCAGGUGGCUAUGUAAGUCUGCUGUUAAAGAGUGAGGCUCAACCUCAUAAGAGCAGUGGAAACUACAUGGCUAGAGUGCGUUCGGGGCAGAGGGAAUUCCUGGUGUAGCGGUGAAAUGCGUAGAGAUCAGGAAGAACACCGGUGGCGAAAGCGCUCUGCUAGGCCGCAACUGACACUGAGGGACGAAAGCUAGGGGAGCGAAUGGG
rnacentral:rRNA from 1 species